rnacentral:lncRNA from 1 species
UCUCAUCAGACGCUUUGAGAACCCUGCGAGCCUGAGACAGCUCUGCUUCUAAAGACUUGGUAUGCUCUGCUGACUCAGCCGCCUUCUCAUCAGCCUUUUUAAAGGCCUCUAGCGCAGAAUGCAACUCCACCUGGAGGGACUGGAUCUGCUCCCGAGCGGCUACCAGAUUACUCCUCGCGUCAUUAGUUGCAGAUAAGUUCUCCUCCAGACACGCCUCUUCAAUCCGGCGGUCUACAGACUCCUGGAGGGAGCGAUCACGGACGUCCACCUCCAUAAAGAGGCCCGUCACCUAGUAC